rnacentral:rRNA from 1 species
UCCCCGGGCUCAACCUGGGAACUGCAUCUGAUACUGGCAAGCUUGAGUCUCGUAGAGGGGGGUAGAAUUCCAGGUGUAGCGGUGAAAUGCGUAGAGAUCUGGAGGAAUACCGGUGGCGAAGGCGGCCCCCUGGACGAAGACUGACGCUCAGGUGCGAAAGCGUGGGGAGCAAACAGGAUUAGAUACCCUGGUAGUCCACGCCGUAAACGAUGUCGACUUGGAGGUUGUGCCCUUGAGGCGUGGCUUCCGGAGCUAACGCGUUAAGUCGACCGCCUGGGGAGUACGGCCGCAAGGUUAAAACUCAAAUGAAUUGACGGGGGCCCGCACAAGCGGUGGAGCAUGUGGUUUAAUUCGAUGCAACGCGAAGAACCUUACC